rnacentral:rRNA from 1 species
AUGAACGCUGGCGGCGUGCCUAAUACAUGCAAGUCGCGCGAACAGACGAGGAGCUUGCUCCCCUGACGUUAGCGGCGGACGGGUGAGUAACACGUGGAUAACCUACCUAUAAGACUGGGAUAACUUCGGGAAACCGGAGCUAAUACCGGAUAAUAUAUUGAACCGCAUGGUUCAAUAGUGAAAGACGGUUUUGCUGUCACUUAUAGAUGGAUCCGCGCCGCAUUAGCUAGUUGGUAAGGUAACGGCUUACCAAGGCAACGAUGCGUAGCCGACCUGAGAGGGUGAUCGGCCACACUGGAACUGAGACACGGUCCAGACUCCUACGGGAGGCAGCAGUAGGGAAUCUUCCGCAAUGGGCGAAAGCCUGACGGAGCAACGCCGCGUGAGUGAUGAAGGUCUUCGGAUCGUAAAACUCUGUUAUUAGGGAAGAACAAAUGUGUAAGUAACUAUGCACGUCUUGACGGUACCUAAUCAGAAAGCCACGGCUAACUACGUG